rnacentral:lncRNA from 1 species
CUUUAGAAGCUUUUCAUGCUCUACCGCUGCCUCUUUUGCACUCCAGGCAGACCAAUAAGAAGCACAUAAGAUGGUGACGACAGCAUUACGCCAAAGAAGCACAUAAGAUGGUGACGACAGCCAUAAGCCACAAAAAAACUUCUGCAACAUCCACUAAUGGUCGGCGUGGAGAAUAAAGCUGCAGAAGAACUGAGCAAAACAUAACACAAAACACCAUAUGAUUACUGGACGCGAAGAAAGAAUGUGCAUGAAAAGCACAUUCAGUUUCGUUGCUGCUUGCAUGGUCAUAUGAAGUAAAUGAAACCUGUGGAGUUGUUAUUGAUAUAGUUUUCCAAGGUUGUUCCAGCAUCCUGCGGAAGCAUAACAGCUGGAAUUCCUAUAUCCAGAUCAGUUUCAUCGUCUUCACAAACCAUCAUAUAAAGCUCUGCACCAAG